rnacentral:rRNA from 2 species
CCUGUACUUUCUAUAAAUGUGAUGGAAUGACGGAGAAGGAUAGUUUUACCACUUAUUGGAUUGUGGGGUAAAUUUCAACUGGGACUAGCAGGCAAAUCCACUAGUCAAUACCGGGAGAAAUGACGCAUAGCCGYAAGGCGAAUUAAAUGAUUUCAUACUUCCAAGAAAAGUUUCUAAACUUAAAUUUAUGGAAACCUGUACCGAGAACGGACACACGUCCCCAAGAUGAGUAUUCUAAGGCGAGCGAGAAAACUAGUGUUAAGGAACUCUGCAAAAUGACCCCGUAAGUUCGCAAGAAGGGGCACCCAUGGUAAUACAUGGGUCACAGUAAAUUAUGAGGGGCAACUGUUUAUCAAAAACACAGCUCUCUGCUAAACCGCAAGGUGAUGUAUAGGGGGUGAAGCCUGCCCAGUGCCCGAAGGUUAAGUGGAUGCGUUAG